rnacentral:rRNA from 1 species
CCUACGGGUGGCAGCAGUGGGGAAUAUUGGGCAAUGGGCGCAAGCCUGACCCAGCAACGCCGCGUGAAGGAAGAAGGCUUUCGGGUUGUAAACUUCUUUUCUCAGGGACGAAGCAAGUGACGGUACCUGAGGAAUAAGCCACGGCUAACUACGUGCCAGCAGCCGCGGUAAUACGUAGGUGGCAAGCGUUAUCCGGAUUUACUGGGUGUAAAGGGCGUGUAGGCGGGAAAGCAAGUCAGAUGUGAAAACCAUGGGCUCAACCUGUGGCCUGCAUUUGAAACUGUUUUUCUUGAGUACCGGAGAGGUCAUCGGAAUUCCUUGUGUAGCGGUGAAAUGCGUAGAUAUAAGGAAGAACACCAGUGGCGAAGGCGGAUGACUGGACGGCAACUGACGGUGAGGCGCGAAAGCGUGGGGAGCAAACAGGAUUAGAUACCCGAGUAGUC